rnacentral:misc_RNA from 1 species
GUUCUCGAAGACUACCCUGCCAAAGGAGAGUAAAGCUGAAGGUGCUUUAGGUGUCAAAGUGCCUAAUGGGUAUCAAAAAAGUAGUCUUCAGUCCCUAUGCAGAGAUUUUCUCCAAUCUCCUCGUAAGGGGAGGUCAGUUCUUAGUGAACGCAAGUUCAGGGAUCGUCCUAGUCCUCUUGGCCCUCAUGGGAAGAGCCACAGUAUUGCUUUUGAAGAUUCUAUCCC